ensembl:lncRNA novel transcript
AUCGGCCAGGCUGGAGUGCAGUGACAUGAUCUCGCCUCACUGUAGCCGCCACCUCCUGGGCUCAAGUGAUUCUCUUUUCAGCCUCUCAAGUAACUGGGAUUACAGGCACCUGCCACCACACCCGACAGCCGCAUCUUCUCUCACAUCGCCAGCCACAUCCCUGAGACACCAUGGUGAAGGUGAAGGUCAGGGUCAGUGGAUUUGGUCGUAUUGGGCGCCUGGUCAGCAGGGCUAUUUUAACUCUGGUAAAGUGGAUAUUAUCACCAUCAGUGACCCCUUCAUUGAUCUCAAGUACAUGGUCUACAUGUUCCUGUAUGAUUCCACCCAUGGCAAAUUCCAUGGCACCAUCAAGGCUGAGAACGGGAAACUUGUCAUCAAUGGAAAUCCCAUCACCAUCUUCCAGGAGCGAGAUCCCUCCAAAAUCAAAUGGGGCACUGCUGGUGCUGAGUACAUCGUGGAGCCCACCGGCACCUUUACCACCAUGGAGAAGACUGGGGCUCACUUGCAGGGAGGAGCCAAAAGGGUCAUCAUCUCUGCCCCCUCUGCUGAUGCCUCCGUGUUCAUAAUGGGUGUGAACAAUGAGAAGUAUGACAACAGCCUCAAGAUCAUCAGCAAUGCCUCCUGUACCACCAACUGCUUAGCGCCCCGGGCCAAGGUCCUCCAUGACAACUUUGGUAUCGUGAAAGGACUCAUGACCACAGUCCAUGCCAUCACCGCCACCCAGAAGACUGUGGAUGGCCCCUCCAGGAAACUGUGGCAUGACGGUGGUGGGACUCUCCAGAACAUCAUCCCUGCCUCUACUGGCACUGCCAAGGCUGUGGGCAAGGUCAUCCCUGAGCUGAACGGGAAGCUCACUGGCAUGGCCUUCUGUGUCCCCACUGCCAAUGUGUCAGUCGUGGACCUGAUCUACCAUCUGGAAAAACCUACCAAAUAUCAUGGCAUCAAGAAGGUGGUGAAGGAGGCAUCAGAGGGCUCCCUCUAGGGCAUCCUGGGCUACAACACCGAGCACCAGGUUGUCUCCUUCGACUUCAACAGCGACAUCCAUUCUUCCACCUUUGAUGUUGGGGCUGGCAUUGCCCUCAACAACCACUGUGUCAAGCUCAUUUCCUGGUAUGAGAAUGAAUUUGGCUACAGCAACAGGGUGGUGGACGUCAUGGCCCACAAGUCCUCCAAGGAGUAAGACCCCUGAACCACCAGCCCCAGUGACAGCACAAGAGGAAAAGAGAGGCCCUCACUGCUGGGGAGUCCCUGCCACACUCAGUCCCCUGCCACAAUGAGAAUCUCCCCUCCUCACAGUUUCCAUGCAGACCCCCUGAAGAGGGAGUGGCCUAGGGAGCCCCACCUUGUCUUGUACCAUCAACAAAGUCCCCUGUGCUCAGCCAAAAAAAUAAAUACAUAAAAUUUUUUUCUAUAAAGUUUCUAUGGAUUAAUGAUCAAUUCUUAAAUAUUCUAGUUUUGACUGGAAUUUGGAAUAAUAUUUUAUUAUUAUUCCUAGUUUGUAUUGUCAGUGUAGAAGAUAUCAAGAUUUCUUAAGUUGUUCUUAUCUAAAAAUUUUGUUCAAUUCUCUUACUAGUUCUAAUAGUUGGAAGCUUUUUUGGACAG